UACAGAGGGUGCAAGCGUUAAUCGGAAUUACUGGGCGUAAAGCGUGUGUAGGUGGUUUGUUAAGUCAGAUGUGAAAUCCCUGGGCUCAACCUGGGAACUGCAUUUGAUACUGUCAGACUAGAGUGUGGUAGAGGGUAGUGGAAUUCCGCAUGUAGCGGUGAAAUGCGUAGAGAUGCGGAGGAACACCAGUGGCGAAGGCGGCUACCUGGACCAACACUGACACUGAGGCACGAAAGCGUGGGUAGCAAACAGG
rnacentral:rRNA from 1 species